AAGAAGUUAGUUUAAAUAAAACAUUAGCCUGUCAGACUAAAAAUAUCAAUAAGAUACAUCUUA
rnacentral:tRNA from 1 species